rnacentral:rRNA from 1 species
GCAAGUCGAGCGGGAUUCAUAACAUUGAUCUUUCGAGUGAUUUGUUAUGAUGAGAGCGGCGAACGGGUGAGUAACACGUGAGCAACCUACCCUAAAGUUUGGGAUAGCCCGCCGAAAGGCGGAUUAAUACCAAAUGUGGUCCUCUAUCGCAUGAUAGAGAUACUAAAGCUUGUAAUGGCGCUUUGAGAGGGGCUCGCGGCCUAUCAGCUUGUUGGUGAGGUAAUAGCUCACCAAGGCUCAGACGGGUAGCUGUUCUGAGAGGAUGAUC